AUUUGGUCCACCAUGCUUGAUUUUAUUCACUUAUUUGUUGCUUACAAAUGUAACUUAGCUACUUAAAUAUAAAUUCAAAGAGAGAAUGAAGGAAGAGUACCAACCUUAAGUGAGCAGAAUUUUUAGCUCUAAUUCUUCAAUUUCACUCCCUUUUUCCUUUUCUUUUCUUCUUCAAAUGCUUCCCCAAGUGAAGUUUACAAGUUUUUAUGAAUUAAUUUAGUGACAAAAUAAGGUUAAGUGGGUGGAAUCAAGCUUGUAUCAAGCUUUCAUGGGAGUUUUUUGGUGAGGGAGAGGAAGAGAGAAUGGUUCACGUUUUUGAUGAAGUCUUUUUCUUUUUUUUUUUUUU
rnacentral:misc_RNA from 1 species